rnacentral:misc_RNA from 1 species
CUGAAUUCAGGCAGGUUUAUCAAGCAUGUAAUGUAAAAUAACAACCGAGGAUCAGAAUAACAGACCAGGUCUAGUUUCAUUCGCUAGCAUGUGCAUGAGUGCAUCAGAAUAUGAAGAUGUGGUGUUUAACGAAGGUUGGUUCAUCUUAAUAUGAGGAUGUAAAUUUGCGAUUCUAUCUACUUUAAAAUAACGAACAUAAGAUUGUUCGCGUUCGAAAAUAUAACAUUGUAUUUGGAAAAAAUCAAUGCGAAAUUAUUUCAUUAGCAAA